AGGAUAAUAGUUAACUAUAACAUUUGAUUUGCAUUCAAAAAGUGUUGAAAUAUCAACUUAUCUUA
rnacentral:tRNA from 1 species